ensembl:ncRNA W06H8.14 ncRNA
CUCCCUGUCUCUCCAUCUUCUCUCAUCUCUCUUCUCCACCCAUACUAUCUCAUUCACGAUGUGAAGCCUCUUCUAUGUCGUCAACAGACCGACCGACCGACUGCGCUGAUGUUUGCCCGUCGAGGCGACAUCGCGGGUGCCGCGUG